CAUCAGAUGACUGAAGGUAAGUAAUGGUCUCUUAAACCAAAAUAUAGUAAAUUAACAAUUACUUCUGAUGA
rnacentral:tRNA from 1 species